rnacentral:lncRNA from 1 species
AAUUCCAACGGGGAGCGGGAAUUCAGGGAUCGGGAAUUCCAACGGGGAGCGGGAAUUCAGGAAUCGGGAAUUCCAACGGGGAUCGGGAAUUCAGGGAUCGGGAAUUCCAACGGGGAUUGGGAAUUCAGGGAUCGGGAAUUCCAACAGGGAUCGGGAAUUCCAACGGGGAUCGGGAAUUCAGGGAUCGGGAAUUCCAACGGGGAUUGGGAAUUCAGGGAUCGGGAAUCGGGAAUUCCAGCAGGGAGCGGGAAUUCAGGGAUCGGGAAUUCAGGAAUCGGGAAUUCCAGCAGGGAGCGGGAAUUCAGGGAUCGGGAAUCGGGAAUUCCAACGGGGAUCGGGAAUUCAGGGAUCGGGAAUUCAGGAAUCAGGAAUUCCAACGGGGAGCGGGAAUUCAGGGAUCGGGAAUUCAGGAAUCGGGAAUUCCAGCCCCGGGGAGCGGGAAUUCAGGAAUUGGGAAUUGGGAAUUCCAGCCCCGGGGAGCGGGAAUUCAGGAAUCGGGAAUUCCAACGGGGAGCGGGAAUUCAGGGAUCGGGAAUUCAGGGAUCGGGAAUUCCAGCCCCGGGGAGCGGGAAUUCAGGAAUCGGGAAUUCAGGAAUCGGGAAUUCCAGCCCCAGGGAGUGGGAAUUCAGGAAUUGGGGAUUGGGAAUUCCAGCGGGGAUUGGGAAUUCCAGCCCCGGGGAUCGGGAAUUCAGGAAUCAGGGAUCGGGAAUUCAGGAAUCGGGAAUUCCGGCUCCAGGGAUCGGGAAUUCCAGCCCUGGGGAUCGGGAAUUCAGGAAUCAGGGAUCGGGAAUUCCGGCCCCAGGGAUCGGGAAUUCCAACAGGGAUCGGGAAUUCAGGAAUCGGGGAUCGGGAAUUCCGGUCCCGGGAAUCGGGAAUUCCAGCAGGGAUCGGGAAUUCCAGCAGGGAUCGGGAAUUCCAGCAGGGAUCGGGAAUUCCAGUCCUGGGAAUCGGGAAUUCCAGCAGGGAUCGGGAAUUCCAGCAGGGAUCGGGAAUUCCAACGGGGAUCGGGAAUUCAGGCCCCGGGAAUCGGGAAUUGCGGCAGGGAUCAGGAAUNNNNNNNNNNNNNNNNNNNNNNNNNNNNNNNNNNNNNNNNNNNNNNNNNNNNNN